rnacentral:rRNA from 1 species
GUUCGUACCGUAGGGCGUUCUGUUAAGUCAGACAACGAACGAGACCCUCAUCUUUAAUUGCAACUGGUAAGUCCGCUUAUCAGGCACACUAAAGAGACCGCUGGCGAUAAGUCAGAGGAAGGCGAGGGCAACGGUAGGUCAGUAUGCCCUGAAUCCUCCGGGCUACACGCGCGCUACAAAGGCUAGGACAAUGGGCUCCGACACCGAAAGGUGAAGGUAAUCCCGAAACCUAGUCAUAGUUCGGAUCGAGGGUUGAAACUCACCCUCGUGAAGGUGGAUUCCGUAGUAAUCGCGGGUCAACACCCCGCGGUGAAUAUGUCCCUGCUCCUUGCACACACCGCCCGUCAAGCCAUGCGAGUUGGGUCUGAGUGAGGAUGUAAUUUUUGUUACAUUCGAACUUAGGCUUAGCGAGCGGGGCUAAGUCGUAACAAGGUAUCCGUAGGGGAACCUGCGGAUGGAUCACCUCCU